UGCAGUCGAACGGUAACAGGGAGCUUGCUCCGCUGACGAGUGGCGAACGGGUGAGUAAUAUAUCGGAACGUACCCAAGAGUGGGGGAUAACGUAGCGAAAGUUACGCUAAUACCGCAUACGAUCCAAGGAUGAAAGCAGGGGACCUUCGGGCCUUGUGCUCCUGGAGCGGCCGAUAUCUGAUUAGCUAGUUGGUGAGGUAAAGGCUCACCAAGGCGACGAUCAGUAGCUGGUCUGAGAGGACGACCAGCCACACUGGAACUGAGACACGGUCCAGACUCCUACGGGAGGCAGCAGUGGGGAAUUUUGGACAAUGGGCGCAAGCCUGAUCCAGCAAUGCCGCGUGAGUGAAGAAGGCCUUCGGGUUGUAAAGCUCUUUUGUCAGGGAAGAAACGGUGGGGGCUAAUAUCCUCCACUAAUGACGGUACCUGAAGAAUAAGCACCGGCUAACUACGUGCCAGCAGCCGCGGUAAUACGUAGGGUGCAAGCGUUAAUCGGAAUUACUGGGCGUAAAGCGUGCGCAGGCGGUUUUGUAAGUCUGACGUGAAAUCCCCGGGCUCAACCUGGGAAUUGCGUUGGAGACUGCAAGGCUAGAAUCUGGCAGAGGGGGGUAGAAUUCCACGUGUAGCAGUGAAAUGCGUAGAGAUGUGGAGGAACACCGAUGGCGAAGGCAGCCCCCUGGGUCAAGAUUGACGCUCAUGCACGAAAGCGUGGGGAGCAAACAGGAUUAGAUACCCUGGUAGUCCACGCCCUAAACGAUGUCUACUAGUUGUCGGGUUUUAAUUAACUUGGUAACGCAGCUACGCGUGAAGUAGACCGCC
rnacentral:rRNA from 1 species